UAUAUUGCACAAUGGGGGAAACCCUGAUGCAGCGACGCCGCGUGAUGGAAGACGGUUNNNGGAUUNUAAACCUCUGUCUUCGGNGAANAAUAAAUGACGGUACCCGAGGAGGAAGCCACGGCUAACUACGUGCCAGCAGCCGCGGUAAUACGUAGGUGGCAAGCGUUGUCCGGAUUUACGGGGUGUAAAGGGAGCGUAGGCGGGUAUGCAAGUUGAAUGUGAAAUCUAUCGGCUCAACCGGUAGCUGCGUUCAAAACUGUGUAUCUUGAGUGAAGUAGAGGUUGGCGGAAUUCCUAGUGUAGCGGUGAAAUGCGUAGAUAUUAGGAGGAACACCAGUGGCGAAGGCGGCCAACUGGGCUUUUACUGACGCUGAGGCUCGAAAGCGUGGGGAGCAAACAGG
rnacentral:rRNA from 1 species